UACAGAGGUCUCAAGCGUUGUUCGGAUUCAUUGGGCGUAAAGGGUGCGUAGGCGGCGCGGUAAGUCGGGUGUGAAAUCUUGGAGCUUAACUCCGAAACUGCAUUCGAUACUGCCGUGCUUGAGGACUGGAGAGGAGACGUGGUAAUUUGACGGAUGUAGCGGUGAAAUGCGUAGAUAUCGUAAGGAAGACCAGUGGCGAAG
rnacentral:rRNA from 1 species